CAUGUCCAGAUUACACCAGUUACAAUCAGGGACUCCUGAUGACAUGUUUGGCAUAGAAACAUUGCUGCGUGAUUGUAAGUGAAGGUAAACGACGAGAGUGUAAAAGGUAAUUUUCCAGUGUGAAGUUAUUUGACUUUUGCGAAUAAAUAGGGAAGUUAAUGCUUCCUAAAAUGGGGAUACAUUUUUAACGAGCAUCAAUUUUAAAAUGUUCUGCUAAAUUUUAUAC